UGGGGAAUUUUCGACAAUGGGGGGAACCCUGAUCGAGCCAUCUCGCGUGUGGGACGAAGGCCUUCGGGUUGUAAACCACUUUUCUCAACGAAGAAAAGUCUUAGGCUAAUACCUUAAGAUGCUGACGGUAGUUGAGGAAUAAGCACCGGCUAACUACGUGCCAGCAGCCGCGGUAAUACGUAGGGUGCGAGCGUUAAUCGGAAUUACUGGGCGUAAAGGGUGCGCAGGCGGCUUGGAAAGAACGGUGUGAAAUCCCGGGGCUCAACCUCGGAACUGCACUAUUAACUGCCAAGCUAGAGUACGUCAGAGGGGGGUGGAAUUCCGCGUGUAGCAGUGAAAUGCGUAGAUAUGCGGAGGAACACCGAUGGCGAAGGCAGCCCCCUGGGAUGGUACUGACGCUCAGGCACGAAAGCGUGGGUAGCGAACAGG
rnacentral:rRNA from 1 species